rnacentral:rRNA from 1 species
CCUACGGGUGACAGCAGUGAGGAAUAUUGGUCAAUGGCCGGAAGGCUGAACCAGCCAAGCCGCGUGAAGGACGAAGGUGCCAAGCAUUGUAAACUUCUUUUGUCAAGGGACAAAAUCAGGCUCGAGAGCCUGACCGAGGGUACUUGAAGAAAAAGCAUCGGCUAACUCCGUGCCAGCAGCCGCGGUAAUACGGAGGAUGCGAGCGUUAUCCGGAUUUAUGGGGUGUAAAGGGUGCGUAGGCGGACUGUUAAGUCAGCGGUAAAAGCCCGGGGCUCAACCCCGGCGAGCCGUUGAAAGUGGCUGUCUUGAGAUGUCGAGAGGUAUGCGGAAUUCGCAGUGUAGCGGUGAAAUGCUUAGAUAUUGCGCAGAACUCCGAUUGCGAAGGCAGCAUACCGGCGGGGAUCUGACGCUGAGGCACGAAAGCGUGGGUAUCGAACAGGAUUAGAUACCCGUGUAGUC